rnacentral:rRNA from 1 species
CACAAGCGGUGGAGCAUGUGGUUUAAUUCGAUGCAACGCGAAGAGCCUUACCUGGCUUGACAUCCCGGGAAUCCCUUGGAAACAAGGGAGUGCCCUUCGGGGGACAGGGUGACAGGUGGUGCAUGGUUGUCGUCAGCUCGUGUCGUGAGAUGUUGGGUUAAGUCCCGCAACGAGCGCAACCCUCGACCUUAGUUGCCAGCAUUCAGUUGGGCACUCUAAGGUGACUGCCGGCUAAAAGUCGGAGGAAGUGGGGAUGACGUCAAAUCAUCAUGCCCCUUAUGACCUGGGCUACACACGUGCUACAAUGGGCGGUACAAAGGGUCGCGAACCCGCGAGGGGGAGCCAAUCCCAAAAAGCCGCUCUCAGUUCGGAUUGCAGGCUGCAACUCGCCUGCAUGAAGCCGGAAUCGCUAGUAAUCGCGGAUCAGCAUGCCGCGGUGAAUACGUUCCCGGGCCUU